rnacentral:lncRNA from 1 species
AAUACACCAUACAGUAAGGCUGGCUACUCUACUGUAAUACACCAUACAGUAAGGCUGGCUACUCUACUGUAAUACACCAUACAGUAAGACUGGCUACUCUAUUGUAAUACACCAUACAGUAAGGCAGGCUACUCUACUGUAAUACACCAUACAGUAAGGCUGGCUACUCUACUGUAAUACACCAUACAGUAAGACUGGCUACUCUACUGUAAUACACCAUACAGUAAGACUGGCUACUCUACUGUAAUACACCAUACAGUAAGACUGGCUACUCUACUGUAAUACACCAUACAGUAAGACUUGCUACUCUACUGUAAUACACCAUACAGUAAGACUUGCUACUCUACUGUAAUACACCAUACAGUAAGGCUGACUACUCUACUGUAAUACACCAUACAGUAAGACUUGCUACUCUACUGUAAUACACCAUACAGUAAGGCUGGCUACUCUACUGUAAUACACCAUACAGUAAGACUUGCUACUCUACUAUAAUACACCAUACAGUAAGACUGGCUACUCUACUGUAAUACACCAUACAGUAAGACUGGCUACUCUACUGUAAACACACAGUCCAGUUCAUAGUGAAUGAUGGCAGGCCCUACUGCCUGUAAACACACAGUCCAGUUCAUAGUGAAUGAUGACAGGUCCUACUGCCUGUAAACACAGUCCAGUUCAUAGUGAAUGAUGGCAGGUCCUACUGCCUGUAAACACAGUCCAGUUCAUAGUGAAUUAUGACAGGCCCUACUGCCUGUAAACACACAGUCCAGUUCAUAGUGAAUUAUGACAGGCCCUACUGCCUGUAAACACACAGUCCAGUUCAUAGUGAAUGAUGGCAGGUCCUACUGCCUGUAAACACACAGUCCAGUUCAUAGUGAAUGAUGGCAGGUCCUACUGCCUGUAAACACACAGUCCAGUUCAUAGUGAAUGAUAACAGGUCCUACUGCCUGUAAACACAGUCCAGUUCAUAGUGAAUGAUGACAGGUCCUACUGUAAACACACAGUCCAGUUCAUAGUGAAUGAUGGCAGGUCCUACUGCCUGUAAACACACAGUCCAGUUCAUAGUGAAUGAUGACAGGUCCUACUGCCUGUAAACACACAGUCCAGUUCAUAGUGAAUGAUGGCAGGUCCUACUGCCUGUAAACACACAGUCCAGUUCAUAGUGAAUGAUGACAGGCUUGUGUGGCAUAUGGCUAAUUUGCAUAUAGACCUACUGUAGCUCUGAUUGGCUAUGAACCACCGGUCUGCAGUAGACUCCGGUCCUGGACGAGACAGAUAUUUUUAUUAAGGUUUAUUUACUGCAGUGUCUUAAUUGUCCAAACGCACGACCACUUUCUCACUCUACAUUCACAAAACCUUACUCUACGUCAUUCCCAAACACUCUAUGAAUUUAUGAAAAGGUUAAAAUGACCAUAUCUAAGUGCUCGCUUGACAGAAAAUAUUAAAAACAGGUGUCGUAGUCUUCCUGGGGUUGUACACGAACACAUUUUAAUAAGAUUUCAUGUAGGAGAGAAGGUUGAAGAGAGGGUAGGAGAGAGGGUAGGAGAGAGGAGGGUUGGAGAGAGGGUAGGAGAGAGGGUAGGAGAGAAGGUAGGAGAGAAGGGUAGGAGAGGGGAGGGUAGGAGAGGGUAGGAGAGAGGAGGGUAGGAGAGAGG